rnacentral:rRNA from 1 species
GAUGAACGCUAGCUACAGGCUUAACACAUGCAAGUCGAGGGGUAACGUGACGGUAGCUUGCUACUGUUGACGACGACCGGCGCACGGGUGAGUAACGCGUAUCCAACCUGCCCCGUACACUGCAAUAGCCCGCUGAAAGGCGGAUUAAUGGCAGAUGCAGUUCAGUGAUGAUAUCAGAUCUGAACGAAAGCCUUCGGGCGGUAUGGUGAUGGGGAUGCGUCUGAUUAGGCAGUUGGCGGGGUAACGGCCCACCAAACCGACGAUCAGUAGGGGUUCUGAGAGGAAGGUCCCCCACAUUGGAACUGAGACACGGUCCAAACUCCUACGGGAGGCGGCAGUGAGGAAUAUUGGUCAAUGGGCGAGAGCCUGAACCAGCCAAGUAGCGUGCAGGAUGACGGCCCUAUGGGUUGUAAACUGCUUUUGUACGGGAAUAAAGUGAGCUACGUGUAGUUUAUUGCAUGUACCGUACGAAUAAGGACCGGCUAAUUCCGUGCCAGCAGCCGCGGUAAUACGGAAGGUCCGGGCGUUAUCCGGAUUUAUUGGGUUUAAAGGGAGCGUAGGCCGUAUAUUAAGUGUGUUGUGAAAUGCAGAUGCUCAACAUUUGACUUGCAGCGCAUACUGGUAUACUUGAGUGCGCGCAACGUAGGCGGAAUUCGUCGUGUAGCGGUGAAAUGCUUAGAUAUGACGAGGAACUCCGAUUGCGAAGGCAGCUUACGGGAGCGUUACUGACGCUGAUGCUCGAAGGUGCGGGUAUCAAACAGG